AAGCCGCCGUAGUAAGUCACCCCGAACAUGAAGAUGGCUGGUCAAAUCCAUCAUUUGAUAGUGGAAAAUUAGGAUAAAGUUCGAGAGGGUUCGAUAAGUCAUCGACUAUAUCUUCUUCAACAUCAUCAACAUCUACGAAACAAAACCAGGACGUCAAGGUCUACACAUAACUGACUUGCACGUUUUCAUUCCUUUCAACUCCUACUUAAUUUCAUUGUUCUUUUACCAUUGCCUCAGCA
rnacentral:lncRNA from 1 species